CGCCGUCCCCGCGCGGAGCGGCUGGGAUCGGAGCGGGGCGGCCCGGCCGUGAGGAGCUCCCAGCGCCCCGCACCGCCCGGCCCGGGCUGGGAGCGCUCCCCGCGGGGGGCCGGCGGCGGGCAGGGCAGGGCAGAGCAGGGCGGCGGGGGUGGGAUCUGCUCCGCGUAAUCCCCCCGGGGGGCGGCGGGCCGCUCUCGGAGCAUCCCCCCCGUCCCCGGCGCGGGGAGGGGAGAGCCGCCACCCCCCGCUUCCUCCGUUUAAGACCCGGGCCGGCGAGGCGAGAGCGGAGGAGAGCGGCCGCUCCGCAGCUGCCGGCCCCAUUUCGGCGGCGGGGCGGGCGCUGGAUGAGCCGCCGGCGGGAGGCGGCCGGCAGCCGAGCGGGUCCGAUCGCGGCGCGAUGAGCGCGGGCGGCAGCGGCUCGGCGGGCACCGCCACCUCCGCGCUGUGCCUGCUCCUCUCGCUCACCGCCGUGGCCGUGUGCCUGCUGCUGGGCGCUAAGACCGCCGAGCUGCAGGGCCGCCUGGCCGCCCUGGAGGAGCGCGGCGCCGCCGGCCCCGGGCCGCUGCUGGACGCGCUGCAGCCCCGCGUGGAGCAGCUCCUGCGCGAGGUUUAACGCGCGAGACCCUGCCGCUUUCCCCCUCGUUCUGUUCACCGGCAAAGGUGAUCCGAGUACCGAAGUGCCGUUUAUCUCCGGGCGCAACGGGCUGGAAUUCCUUCGUCAGAAAUUCGCGGACGGGAUCCGCGCCUCUGCGCUCCGCGUGCUGCGGCGGUGCUGAACUGCGCGGCGGAGCAGCGCCCGUCUGCGUCCCCACCUCCCGGCUCCGAGAGCUCUGAAAUCCACCGCUACAGCUUUCUGUGCUGACACGUUCCUCCUAUUAACGAGGCUCUCCGCCCGGGGUUCCUCUCUGUAAGCGAACCUCCGGGCGAAGCUGGGCUGGGACACCGCCGCUCCCCGGGUCUCUGUGAUGGGUCUCGAUCACGGGGAAUGCAAAAAAAAAAAAAAAGUGCGUGUGUGCGUGUGUGAAAGCCCUGAAUGCCAGAACAGAGGGGUGCUUGUGAGGCGUAAUCACAAAAUCUAGUUAACGUCUUUUCAGCAGGCAGGAACCAGCCUGCCGGCCGUGGCCGUGGUUCUGUUCCAAUUACGCCAAUAAAUGUGCUUAGCAAUGGGAAUGGUUUCUGUGG
rnacentral:lncRNA from 1 species